GCUGGGUGCAGUGGCGCGUGCCUGUAGUCCCAGCUACUUGGGAGGCUGAGGUGGGAGGAUCGCUUGAGCCCAGGAGUCCUGGGCUGUAGUGCGCUAUGCCAAUCAGGUGUCCACACUAAGUUCGGCAUCAAUAUGGUGACCUCCUGCGAGCGGGGGACUACCAGGUUGCCUAAGGAGGGGUGAACCGACUGAGGUCGGAAAUGGAGCAGGUCAAAACUCUCUUGCUGAUCAGUAGUGGGAUCGCGCCUGUGAAUAGCCACUGCACUCCAGCCUGGGCAACAUAGCGAGACCCCGUUUCU
rnacentral:SRP_RNA from 1 species